ACAGAAAACAUUGAAUGGUUAGUGGUUUGACUCCCAGCCAAAAGGUUCUGGGUUCGAUCCCCAGUGUCUGUA